rfam:Clostridium butyricum E4 str. BoNT E BL5262 CLP.Contig65, whole genome shotgun sequence.
UUUCAUAUUGGGCAAAGCAGUUGAAAAGCUGUGACGCAAAGCUAGAGGGCCUUUCUUAUAGAAUGGCAGCCAGUUGCAUAA